rnacentral:rRNA from 1 species
GACGAAGGGGGCUAGCGUUGUUCGGAAUUACUGGGCGUAAAGCGAGUGUAGGUGGUUGUCCAAGUCAACUGUUAAAUCUUGAGGCUCAACCUCAAAAUCGCAGUCGAAACUAUUAGGCUAGAGUAUAGUAGGGGUAAAGGGAAUUUCCAGUGGAGCGGUGAAAUGCGUAGAGAUUGGAAAGAACACCGAUGGCGAAGGCACUUUACUGGGCUAUUACUAACACUCAGAGACGAAAGCUAGGGUAGCAAAUGGG